AUGUUUUCUAGCUCAUACAUGCUACAAACUCUUUGGUACAGUGCCUCAAACUCAUUGAUUCUUCUUCUCAGUUAAAAGAUUCUGUCUUAUCUUUUCAAGUUUUCCUGUUAUGACCUCCUUUUUCCUUAGAAUGCACUUUCCUUCAAAUCAGGAUUUUAUGUUCCCACUUAUCAGUAAUCAAACCCAAAGCAGAGUAGAAAUUAUUCAGAUUUAUGUUGUGCAUUGGACCAGACAUUAGGUUGUCACUCAGAGAAGCUCUGAAGUCAGCUCUGAUCCAUAGGUGUUUUAUAGCAGUUUACAUAGAAGACCUCAGAACCCAGGUAAGACAGCAGAAUGCUGUGGUGCAGCAGAGAUUCACUGACACUGAGAUACCAGAGACACUCAUUGAAGCUCAUAAGGAUAAUACAGAACCAGCAGCAGAUGUAUGGGGCAUACCUGUAAUCAGUUCUGACUGGAAUAAAAAACCAAAAUAUUAACUAGUGCACAUCUGCCAAUUAUUGUUACCUUUUCAAAGAAGCGUUCUUUUUUUCAAACUGUUGGUUAGGUUUUUAAUUUUUUUUUCUAAUGCUUUUCAGUUGGCAGGUGCAUUGUCAAGAAAACAAAAUGUCCCUCAUCAGGUGAAAUUAAGAAACUUCCAUUUUGUGAAAUACGGGAACUUCCCUUUCCUAGCCCCCAGCAGUUUCAAACUUGGGGAGAGAGCAGUGAUGUCUACAUCCCUUUAUGAUGACAAGAUGGAGAUUUCAGCAGGAGCCCAGACUUUUCCCAUGCAGAAGAAAAUAGAUGCCAAAUCUGAAUUCUGGAGUCUGCAAGGAUUCUGAGUUGGCGCUUUUCAGAGAGGAGCUCAGCAGAAGGUGGUAGCAGACUGUUACAUCUCUCCACACCCUUUCACUUUUCUCCUGCAUUUGGAUGGCAUAUGAGGUUUGGAGAGUUUGGAGAAGGGGCAGAAGAAGAAAGAUGUGAGAGAGGUCACACCAUCAUUUCCUAGAAAUAAGGUAUUUCCGUGAAUCACAUCUCAACCUUUAAAGGACAAGUGUCGCUGCCUUCUGAAAUGUACUCUCAGCCUUGCUCUUCAAAGUUCAGAUCAAGUGAUGCUGCCAAGAUUUAUGCAUCUGUGGCAAAUAAUUCACAGAUGCCAACUCAUUGAAGAAUCCAAGAGCUUUGUCCUAUGCCAGGGUAACUUCAGCAGUAUUUUCCAGAGCUGUGGAUUAAGUUUGCUGAAGCAAAAAAAUGACGACGUGUCUGAUCUAUUUCAACAGCGCUGCCAUACGUAAAGAUGAUUCAUCAGUGUUCCCUCUCUAAUGGUAACUAUCUCCAGUGGGCAGUAAAGAAUGACCAAACUGGCUAUCAGAUGGCAAGGAGCAGAAGUUGGAACAGCAUUUGCCUUGCUCACUUUGUACUUGAUUGUGUAUCCAGGCGUUCCCAUCUAGACUUGCAGGGGUUGCUCGAGCAUUUAAUUACUUGAAUCCCAAUGAGCUGAAACUGCUUGGUUCAGGAGAUAGCAUAAUAAAGGCAUUCUCCUGAGGUGGCUAGAUCAUUUUUUUAAGCUUUACUGACAAGCUAGAAAUAGUCACAGAUUUUAAAUGUUGCCAAUGAUUAUAUUCAAAAAGCAUGGAAAAUAUGAGCCUACAUUUUCUGCUAUGCCCAUGUUCCUUCAGGAGCAGCAAAAGAAGGGAAUGUGGGCUUCAUGUGGAACUACCUAAUUCUCUGUCUGACUACACACCAGCUUUGGCCACUGUUAUGAAUUACACCAUAUAAUGGUGCCAAAAGGGGACAGUCUGGUGCUAAACCCUCUCACUCCUGCAUCACUGUGUAACCACAUCAAGGAACGGGAGAACUGACUUCAUGUUAGCUCAAGUUUUUCAGUGCUCAAGUUUUUCAGUGCUCAGACUAGAGGUGUCUUGCCAAUAUCAAGGUGGCAAGAUGGAUCAGACUAACUAAGAGACUCAGGGAAGAGGGAAGCGUAAAAUGUUGCAAACUUGGAUUCUGCAUUUUACAUUUAUUUGAAGAAAUAUGUAUGUCUUUCAGGAUUGUGUAUGAAUGGUGUUACUGGAGUAUCUGGUAUCCAGCUAAGCAUGCAGCUACCUUGUGUCAGUAAUUAUAAAUGAGACAAUUGUCUCAAAUUUCUACUCACAAUCAUUGUAUUGGGUUUUUCUGUUCAUUUUUUUGUUAGUCUUUUUUUUUUCUAGUAGCUUUUCCCAUAGAGUUUGCAUGAGAGAGUGAAGGUUUCCUAUGAGUAGUAGAAAAAGUGCAUGGACUUGGGAUACAAUUCCAACUGGAGAAAAACAUUACCAAAGAAAUCCAGAUACUUAGUGACUCAUGUAAAAUAUAACUUGACAUUUGAGCAUGCAAGAUGAUUUGUGGUAUGUGGUUUAUACAACUCCCAAAUUUUUAUAUCUCUUUAUGGGGAACACUGCCAAAUCUGGAAUAGAAUAUAUGAUUUAUUUUUAUUUCAGGGUAGAAAUUGUCUUUUUGAUUUUCAGUCUGCAAAAGAUGAGCACUUGCCAGUGCACAUUUAUACACAGCCAAAAAAAAAAGAGAGCAUGCUUGAGCCAAGCAGGAACAGAAUUAGUUACAGACUCUUUUUUUUUCUCCACAGCAUGACUUAUAUUGAUACAUUCAUUGUGUUAAAUGGCAUAACUUUGUAUUUUUCACUACUUUAAGGAAGAAAAGUUCAUACUGUUUUAAUCCUUAUGGUUCUGACUUAGGUAAGUAGAAUAGGAAUAAGAAUUCUCCCCUUACAGAUGAGUAUUCUCUUCAGGGUUUCAGUUAAUUUUGCACUAUGGACUAUGUAAUUACAGCCUUUCUGCUACCUGGGAGAUCACCUGAGUUCCAGUUUAACAAGCCUUAUAUAUAGCAUGGGGUUCUUUCACUUUAAAUGUUGGGUAAUGUUUGUUCUUAAAACAAAGCAUCUUCUGAACGGGUUUGUAUCCGGGAAAGAAAUAAUGAUAAUCAAUGCUAGAUUUGAAGAAUGGCAAAAAAUAACAACAUAAGAUCUAAAUUUCUCUAAGAAUCAGAAUGCUUUCAUUUCUUCUGGGGGGGUAGGAGAGGGCAUUAUAGGCCCUUGAAGUAGCAGAGAGAAAUAGAGAAAAGUUUGUGAUAAACCUCAUAUUCUUGUUAUUAUUUCCUCUUAGAGUCACUUGGCUGCGAUAAGGCUUGUGUGCUGCUUCUUCCUCCAAGCUCUAUUUAAAUUCCUAGUUUAACUAUACGUGUCUUCCCUCUUUAACAGUGAUUUGACUGUGCCUGUAGCAUUAUUUUACUAUCAUAGAAGGAUACUUGGAGGUGAUAAUACUAUUCAGUGCAACUUUGCUUUUCGUACUAACCUGUUUCUUUAAAAUAUUCACUUUCAUUUGUAAUUCUAAUUUGGAAAGACAAAUGCCAUAAUCCAUGGAUAAUUAGGAGUCUAGACUAAUUCUGUCAUGUCAGUGCUUUCUUAAUCUGCCCCUAAUCAGAUUAAACACCUUAAUUCAGACAUUAUUGACAUUGCAGAUUGCAGAAUUCCAGGGAAGCUGCUACAGUGUAUCAUGCAGCUGGAGUUGUUGUAAAUGGAAUUUACUGGCCAUUUAUAACCUUUAAUAUCUUGCAAAGAGUAUAAAAAUGGAUUAAGAAAUCCAAAAGUUUAUUCUAACAGAAGGAAAAAUGAAAGUAUGCAUCUGUUAAGAUUUUAACUCUAUUGUCUCACUUAUCUUUUCAAGAGAGAGGUCACUAAAAGAAAGUAAAGAUGAGGGAAUUAUUUUCUCAAGAACUUUUUGCAGCUAAAAGCUGCACAGUGAGUUUCACUGUAUAUAUUAGUGUAUCAACACAAAAUCAGUGUGUUAAUUAGAGAAACCACAAGCUGUUUAUUCUUUAUUUCAAAAUCAACUGCAAUCACAAAUAUUUUGGUGCAAUUGUUGGCAAUAGCCAACAUGCAGGAAGACUGGUUUAAAUCUGGAAUUUCUGUUUUGUAGCCAACCCUGACCCACUAACAUGGUUUGCACCUAUAAAGGACAUACUGUGAUCUGGAUUGAUGUGUGUUGCUAAUGGGAUUUCACUGACUAAACCCACAAAUGAUACUUCAAGAUAUAUCAGGAAAAGUCUUGUAGUGAAGAUGAAGAACUUGUAAUUACAAAAUUGCAUCAGCAAUUGUGACCAAGUUUUAUUUUUAUCUCUGUCUCAAAAUAUAUUUGAAUAAUUAUCAUUAGCUUUAAAAGACAUUCUCCUUCCAUGAUUUUGUUAAUUCCCUUCUAACUACUUUUUCUCUUGAUCAGAACAAUAUAUUUUUAAAGCACUUGAUUUGAGAGUGUGUACUUGUGAUGGUGCCAGUCAGUUCUGAACAAAAAUUAAAUUGUGACCUUGACUCUGGAAGGUUAUGACUGCUUUGUGCUUAGUCUUUGCUUACAGCAUCAGCAGUUGGCACAUCACAGGUAGUGCCCAUGACUUUUGAGUCUGCUUUGGCAAAAGAGGUCAUCACAAAGCAUCUGUAUUCUCACCCAGAAUAUCCUGUCAAGAGCUGUAUUUAAUUUUUAAGUUAAAAUAAUUCUUGCUCUGAUCUUAAAACAAAAGGCCAAAUUUAUCCUGAGUGAAAUGCCUACUAAAUUUGUUUUACUGUGGGUAAGUUUAUUUCCCUGUGUCAGAUUUCAGCCUAAAGCAAUUGCUUCUGAAAGUUUAUUUUGUGAUGUCUUAUAUGUGUUUGCAGAAAUGUUUCUCUCUGUAAAUAAUGCUCAAAAGCUGUUGUACAACACAGUACAAUACCAUUAAAAUGUUGACUCUGUGAAUUUGAAA